rnacentral:rRNA from 1 species
AACGAACGCUGGCGGCAGGCCUAACACAUGCAAGUCGAACGGGACCUUCGGGUCUAGUGGCGGACGGGUGAGUAACGCGUGGGAACGUGCCCUUUGGUUCGGAAUAGCCCCGGGAAACUGGGAGUAAUACCGGAUAAGCCCUACGGGGGAAAGAUUUAUCGCCAAAGGAUCGGCCCGGGUUGGAUUAGGGAGUUGGUGAGGUAAGGGCUCACCAAGCCGACGAUCCAUAGCUGGUUUGAGAGGAUGAUCAGCCACACUGGGACUGAGACACGGCCCAGACUCCUACGGGAGGCAGCAGUGGGGAAUCUUAGACAAUGGGGGAAACCCUGAUCUAGCCAUGCCGCGUGAUCGAUGAAGGCCUUAGGGUUGUAAAGAUCUUUCAGUGGGGAAGAUAAUGACUGUACCCACAGAAGAAGCCCCGGCUAACUCCGUGCCAGCAGCCGCCGUAACAC